rnacentral:misc_RNA from 1 species
AAUUAUCAAAAUUGCUCCAAUUUUGUUGGAGUGGUUUUGGAGUGUCUGGGAGUUUGCAGGUCCAUCGAACCGAAGGGCGAGCUCUCCUGAAAUGAAUUAGUGCGGCUGGAUUGGGCCUAAUUAGUGUGAUAAAAGAGAAAUUGAUCACUAGAAAAAGGGCUCUACCUGGCUUUGCUGAUUGCUUUAUACUAGCUUGGCUAGAAAAUAAUGAUGA